UACGUAGGGUGCAAGCGUUGUCCGGAUUUACUGGGCGUAAAGGGCGGGUAGGCGGCCACCGCAAGUCAGUUGUGAAAUCUCUGGGCUUAACCCAGAAAGGUCAACUGAUACUGCGGGGCUAGAGUGCAGAAGGGGCAACUGGAAUUCUCGGUGUAGCGGUGAAAUGCGUAGAUAUCGAGAGGAACACCUGCGGCGAAGGCGGGUUGCUGGGCUGACACUGACGCUGAACUGCGAAAGCUAGGGGAGCGAACGGG
rnacentral:rRNA from 1 species